rnacentral:rRNA from 1 species
UCCUGGAUUCAGCGGCGGACGGGUGAGUAAUGCCUAGGAAUCUGCCUGGUAGUGGGGGACAACGUUUCGAAAGGAACGCUAAUACCGCAUACGUCCUACGGGAGAAAGCAGGGGACCUUCGGGCCUUGCGCUAUCAGAUGAGCCUAGGUCGGAUUAGCUAGUUGGUGAGGUAAUGGCUCACCAAGGCGACGAUCCGUAACUGGUCUGAGAGGAUGAUCAGUCACACUGGAACUGAGACACGGUCCAGACUCCUACGGGAGGCAGCAGUGGGGAAUAUUGGACAAUGGGCGAAAGCCUGAUCCAGCCAUGCCGCGUGUGUGAAGAAGGUCUUCGGAUUGUAAAGCACUUUAAGUUGGGAGGAAGGGUUGUAGAUUAAUACUCUGCAAUUUUGACGUUACCGACAGAAUAAGCACCGGCUAACUCUGUGCCAGCAGCCGCGGUAAUACAGAGGGUGCAAGCGUUAAUCGGAAUUACUGGGCGUAAAGCGCGCGUAGGUGGUUUGUUAAGUUGGAUGUGAAAUCCCCGGGCUCAACCUGGGAACUGCAUCCAAAACUGGCAAGCUAGAGUAUGGUAGAGGGUGGUGGAAUUUCCUGUGUAGCGGUGAAAUGCGUAGAUAUAGGAAGGAACACCAGUGGCGAAGGCGACCACCUGGACUGAUACUGACACUGAGGUGCGAAAGCGUGGGGAGCAAACAGGAUUAGAUACCCUGGUAGUCCACGCCGUAAACGAUGUCAACUAGCCGUUGGGAGCCUUGAGCUCUUAGUGGCGCAGCUAACGCAUUAAGUUGACCGCCUGGGGAGUACGGCCGCAAGGUUAAAACUCAAAUGAAUUGACGGGGGCCCGCACAAGC